GAUAAGAACGCAGCGAAAUGCGAUAAGUAGUGUGAAUUGCAGAAUUCAGUGAAUCAUCGAAUCUUUGAACGCACAUUGCGCCCCUUGGUAUUCCAUGGGGCAUGCCUGUUCGAGCGUCAUUUGUACCUUCAAGCUCUGCUUGGUGUUGGGUGAUUGUCUAUCUUUGUAGACUCGCCUUAAAGUCAUUGGCAGCCGGCAUAUUGGCCUGGGAGCGCAGCACAAGUCGCGCUUCUUGUCAUGAAUGUUGGCGUCCAGUAAGUCUACAUAUUUUGCUCUUGACCUCGGAUCAGGUAGGGAUACCCGCUGAACUUAAGCAUAUCAAUAAGCGGAGGA
rnacentral:misc_RNA from 1 species